AUCUCCUCAAAAUAAUUGUGUUUGUCGAGGUUUAUGUAUAGGGGUUGUAAAAGAACCCCACUAAAAGCCAAUCAAAAUUUUAAAUCUUUAUGUUUCCCGCGAUCUUCUUAAUCCAACUAUGACCAAUUCCCUCCAUUCCUUUUUCUUUUUGAUAUUCCUUCAUUUUUUUGCUCUGUAAAAAUUCAUAAAAUAAUAGUUGCUGCUCAACCUCAUUUUUCAUAUUUCUCUGCUCUCAUCGCUGCUGCCCAACCGUUGUCGCUCUGUCUCCCUAUCGCAGGCCACCAUCCCCAGAACCCAGAUCCCACUUAAUAUUUUACCAUUGUGAAGUCAGCAAUAGUUUACCAUUGUGAAGUCAUCAAUAGACUUAGUGCUCUUUGCUUCACUAUUCUACAACUCUACAAGGCCAAUUGUUUGAUGAAAUACACUUAUUCUCCCAUUGAACUCUGCAAGCAAAUAAAAGGACUAAAAUAAGCCUAUGUAUAGCAGAAAUUUGAAGCUACAUGAUUGGAGAUGCAAUAGUCUAUGUAUGAGUUAGGGAGGGUGAAUUGAAGCACAUGGAUGCAGCACAACUGAGAGAGUAUGGUCACAACAUGGUUAAAAUUCAUUGCUGAUUAUUACAACAUUGAGAACUCCCUUUUCUUAGUUAAGUUCAGGUUUUUAUAACCCAUCAAUUUCUUUGCCAUUUGUAUCAUUACCAUGCUAUUGCGGUAUUGCCAAGAGUUAAUAGUUUUCUUAAGAGUUUUAGUACCUGCCUGUCAGUUGUGUUUCGGCAGUCUCUGGAGUCUUAGCUAGAGAGCAGUACUCUAUUCUAUUUAGAAUAAAUGGUGGAGCUAAAUGUUAUAAUAAAUAAUAUAUAUACAGUUU